rnacentral:rRNA from 1 species
UACAGAGGUCUCGAGCGUUAGGCGGAAUCACUGGGCUUAAAGCGUGUGUAGGUGGAUCGUUAAGUACCUUGUGAAAUCCCACGGCUUAACCGUGGAACUGCUUGGUAUACUGGCGGUCUUGAGUCAGCUAGGGGCUACCGGAACAAAUGGUGGAGCGGUGAAAUGCGUAGAUAUCGCUUGGAACGCCGAAGGUGAAAACAGACUGCUGGGGUUGCGCCGACGCUGAGACACGAAAGCCAGGGGAGCAAACGGG